CUGAGUAAGGGCGUGCGGUGGAUGCCUAGACUGAAGAAGGCGAUGAAGGACGUGGUUUGGCUGCGAUAAGCUCCGGGAAGGUGCCAAGCAACCGUUAUAUCCGGAGAUGUCCGAAUGGGGAAACCCGUAGAAGCAAACCUUCUACACUCGACAUAUAAACGAUGUCGGGAGCAUACCUCGGGAAGUGAAACAUCUCAGUACCGAGAGGAAAAGAAACCAAUAGGAAUUCCCUUAGUAGCGGCGAGCGAAACGGGAGGAGCCCAAACUCAGCCACAAUAAUUAGCUUCUAGGUUCUAGUAGCUAGCUUCUAGGAGGAUGCAGCAAUGCAGACCCCUAGCAGCUAGAAGCUAGUUCCUAGAAGCUGUCGCGCCGCAAGGUGCGACUAGUGGAUGGGGGUUAUAAGACUACAGUGUCCCGAGAGAAAUCGAGGGAGUAGAGUUACAAAAUGCUUAGAUAGAGGAAGGAGCUGGGAAGCUCGACCCUAGAGGGUAAUAGUCCCGUACUCGAAAUCAAAGCAUCUCUAUGGCUGUAGUUCUUGAGUAGCCCGAGACACGAAUAGCUCGGGUGAAUUCACCAGAACUAACUGGUAAGGCUACAUACUUCUUCAGAUCGAUAGUGAACUAGUACCGUGAGGGAAAGGUGAAAAGAACCCCGUUUAGGGGAGUGAAAUAGACCUGAAACCGCAUGUCUACAAGGAGUCGGAGCGGGCAGCAAUGUCCGCGACGGCGUGCCUAUUGAAGAAUGAGCCAACGAGUUGAUGCAUACGGCUUGGCUAAGUCCUUUCGGACGGAGCCGCAGCGAAAGCGAGUGUUAAUAGCGCGUUUGUCGUAUGUAUCAGACCCGAAGCCGGGUGAGCUACCCAUGAGCAGGCUGAACGCUCUAGAAAUAGAGCGGGAGGGCCGAACCCGUAGAUCGUGCAACAUCUUGGGAUGACUUGUGGGUUGGAGUGAAAAGCUUAUCGAACUCGGUAAUAGCUGGUUCUCUCCGAAAGAGCUUUCGGGCUUGCGUCAUAUGUUCCUGUCGGGGGUAGAGCACUGGAAGAAGCAGAUAGGCCGCAAGGCCACUGCCUCUAUCAAACUCCGAAUACCGGCAGCUAAAGUAUGGCAGUUAGACGGUGGGGGCGAAGCUCCACUCGUCAAAAGGGAAACAGCCCAGACCGCCAGUUAAGGUCCCCAAAUCUACGCUAAGUGCAAAUAAGGAGGUGUUAUUUCUCAGACAGUGAGGAUGUUGGCUUAGAAGCAGCCAUCAUUUAAAGAAAGCGUAACAGCUCACUCACUCAGAGAUCUCGCGCCACAAAUGAUCGGGGCUAAGCGUAGUACCGAAACUGCGGAUUCUAGCGCAUCACAGUGCAUGUGAUGCCAGUAAGCAGUAAGCAGUAAGUAGUAGGCAGCUGAAUUCAAACCGAAUUUCUGCUUUCUACCUUCUGUUUUCCGCCUACUAGUAGUCAUCGCGUGUAGCGCGAUGCGCUGGAGUGGUAGGAGAGCGUUCGUAUUGCGCUGAAGGCAAAGGGGUGACCCAUGCUGGAGCGAUGCGAAGUGAGAAUGUUGGCACGAGUAACCGCAAUGCGAGUGAGACUCUCGCACGCCGAAAGAACAAGGUUUCCUUCGCAAUGCAGAUCAACGAAGGGUUAGUCGGGCCUUAGCCAAUGGCGAACGCCGGAGGCGAUGGACACAUGGUUAAUAUUCCAUGACCCGCGCUUGUUGCGAUGGGGGGACGGAGAGCUGUACCUAGGGCGCAUUAUUGGAUUUGCGUCCAUGUCGUGAGGGUGUUCGGUAGGUAAAUCCGCCGAGCAACAGCCCAAGCGAAGUGGAGAACCGGAGAUUCGUCAAAGGGAAUCCUAGGGAGCGCGCUUCCAAGAAAAACCUCUAAGCUUCAGACAAGUGCGGACCGUACCGCAAACCGACACAGGUGUUCUGGUCGAGUAGACCAAGGCGAACGGGUGAUUGAUCCUCAAGGAACUCGGCAAAUUAGCGGCCGUAACUUCGGGAUAAGGCCUGCCCGGGCGCAUCACAGUGCAUGUGAUGCCAGUAAGCAGUAAGCAGUAGGUAGUAGGCAGCCGAAUUCAAACCGAAUUUCUGCUCUCUGCCUUCUGUUUUCCGUCUACCAGUCAUCGCGUGUAGCGCGAUGCGUCUGGGUCGCAGCGAAAGAUUCCCAAGCGACUGUUUACCAAAAACACAGCUCCCUGCGAACUCGUAAGAGGAUGUAUAGGGGGUGAUGCCUGACCAAUGCCGGUAGGUUAAGCGCGGUUGGUCCUGUCAUUUAUGAUAGGGCUGGACUGUGUAAGCCCCGGUCAAUGUCGGCGAUAACUAUAAUCGUCCUAAGGUAGCGAAAUUCCUUGUCUGGUAAGUUCAGACGCGCACGAAUGGUANNNNNNNNNNNNNNNNNNNNNNNAGACGAAAAGACCCCAGGAGCUUUACUGCAACUUGAUAUUGGGGAUACGGGUGCGCUGCGUAGCAUAGGUGGGAGACUUUGAAGCGAGGGUUUUGGCUCUCGUGGAGUCGUCAGUGAAAUACCACUCUGCGUUUCUGUAUCUUCUAACCUCUGCGGAGAAACCGCAGAGAGACAGUAUCUGGUGGGCAGUUUCGGUGGGGCGCUGUCCUCCUAAAAAGUAACGGAGGAGCCUAUUAUGGUCAGCUAGGCGCGAAUGGAAACCGUGCCGAUAGUGCAUUGGCAAAAGCUGGCUUGACUGCGAGUCGUACAUGACGAGCAGGCGCGAAAGCGGAGCAAAGUGAACCGACGGUACGCUUUAGAUGCGGCCGAAGAUUAACGGAUAAAAGUUACCCUGGGGAUAACAGGCUGGUACUGCCUAAGAGUCCAAAUCGACGGCAGUGUUCGGCACCUCGAUGUCGGCUCAAUUAGGGUCGGUUCUGGCGAAAGCCAGAACAUUCAAAUCGGCUUAUAACGGUGAACUCCUACCUGCAGACUCAGUGCAGAGGACAAUACCGUGGGAAGCUGGGCAAGCAGUGAUAUGAUUCCUAAUGCGGAAUUAUCGCACUGUCAGCGCGCAAUAAUUAUCGGUUCACUCCUAGGCGAUGCAUGCUUGGAGCGAAACGGUAAGCACUAUCGUUUGAGAAUUGAGCAUGGACGCACUCAAAAAGCGUACGUGCUAUGGAAGUGCAAAAUGUUCACUGAGCUUCUAACAGAAGCUAGUCCAAUGCAGGUGAAAGCUUUUCACUUGGGACGCCAGCGAACAUACGAAAGCUGGAGAGCAUACACAAAAAGUCUUCCAGUAUUCGAUGGAAUUGGAGAAGCCUUCUAUCAUUCGAGGAGAAAAGUCAUUCCUCGGAAUCUCACAGAAUUGCUUACCGAUCCCUUAUCCUUAGCUGUAUGGCACAUGGAUGACGGAUACAAGCGGAGUGAUUGCAAUGCAUUCCGCAUCAAUACCGACUCUUUCUCUGAAGAAGAGCAAGAGAUAUUGCGAGAGACAAUGGCAAAGAAUUUCGGAAUACAGUGUUCCGUACACAAAAAAGGAAAGUACAGGAAUUUGUAUAUUCCGAAGAAAUCAGCCCGGCAAUUUGUGGAGUUGGUAAAACCCCACGUGUUGCCUAGUCUCUUAUAUAAAAUUGCCUUAGCCCCGUAACGACUGGAACAUCUGCCAAUUGCAAGAAAAAUGAAUUGGUGCGAUGUGAAGAUAGCGAAAGAACCGGCUGAAGCCGGAGAACCAUCGCUAUAAAACGCCGAUCCCCUCUGCGCGAGGGUGAAGAUAUAGUCUACACGCGUAGUAAUACGUGAUUAAUGUGCAUCUCAUCCUGGGGGUGGAGAAGCUCCCAAGGGUUUGGCUGUUCGCCAAUUAAAGAGGUACGUGAGCUGGGUUCAGACCGUCGUGAGACAGGUUGGUCUUAAUCUGCUGCAGGCGUUGAUUCUUGAGGAGAUUCGUUCGUAGUACGAGAGGACCCGAAUGAACUGACCUCUGGUCUGUCGGCUGUCGCGCCAGCGGCACUGCCGAGUAGCUAUGUCGGGAAAGGAUAACCGCUGAAAGCAUCUAAGCGGGAAGCCAACUCCAAGAUAAGGAAUCGUUAUAGACCCGUGGGAGAUGACCACGUUGAUAGGCACCAGGUGUACGUGCAGUAAUGUACUGAGCCGAGGUGUACUAAUACGUCGACAG
rnacentral:rRNA from 1 species